UUCUGCUGCUGUUAUAAGGUUAAACGUGGCAUAUGCUAGAGUCUUUUGUGGGAAGAUUUUACUAUUCACCCAAUCCGUGGCUUCUUUGGAGUUUUUGACAAUGUCUCCUUCGAUCUGUGUAUGUGCUAACAGCCUGGUGUGUGUGUUUCUCCAAAUUCAUCAUCUGGCACGAGUUGUAUAGAGUGACUAAUGCGUUAGCUUGGCUGUAGAUGGUGAGUUUGCUUCAUGUGAUUUCACGAGCUCUCUUAGAGAGCCUGCUUUAAAGGUUCUGUGCUUUUUAGGUGCUGACAAGUUCUGUCUUGGUUGGGGUGGGUGUUUUUACUAUAUUAAGUCAGUUCAGUUAUGGGGUUUUUGACUGAUUGGGUGUUCGCCAAUCAUCCUCACUGGUAUUCUUUAAUUCUUUUAAUACUAUUAAUAAAACUGCUUAAUUCAUAAGAUUAUAAAACAAAGAAAAAAAAGCAAAGGAAAAGGAGCGGAGCCAGCCCACUUAAUUGGCCAAGUUUAAUUGCAUUAAAAAAGAGGCUCCAAUAGCUCAUGCUUUCAUUCAAGUUAGGCGAUCAAUUAGUGGCGUGAAUUGCCUUCUAAUCAUCCAGUUUGAAUCUUGUUUUGCCUUGAAUGCUCAUUAUUUCUUCACAUGUUACCACCUCCCUCUAUUUUACAUUUUUAUAAUUCUCUGUUUUUUUCCUCACAGCCAAGGAAGGCAGAAGAGAAGAAGCAAUAAUUGUAGGCCAUGAUUUGAACCAUGUAAGUGCUUCGCAUGUCUUGAUUUUGAAACAAUAUUGCUUCUUUGUUGAUGCGUACUUGUGCUUUGAUACUGUUGCUGGAUAAAAUGCAGCCUGCUGUACUUUAUUAUCUGUAUAUUUUUCUUCAUUAUGAAUGCUUUAGUGUCACACCCGAGCCAUCUCCCA
rnacentral:lncRNA from 1 species